rnacentral:rRNA from 1 species
UCCGUAGGGUGCGAGCGUUAAUCGGAAUUACUGGGCGUAAAGCGCGUGUAGGUGGUGGGACAAGUCUGCUGUGAAAGCGCCUGGCUUAACCGGGCGAGGUCGGCGGAAACUGUCCGACUAGAGGACGGUAGAGGGGGGUGGAAUUCCCGGUGUAGUGGUGAAAUGCGUAGAGAUCGGGAGGAACACCUGUGGCGAAGGCGGCCCCCUGGGCCGGCCCUGACACUGAGACGCGAAGGCGUGGGGAGCGAACGGG